UACGUAGGGUGCAAGCGUUGUCCGGAAUUAUUGGGCGUAAAGAGCUCGUAGGCGGUUUGUCGCGUCUGCUGUGAAAACCCGAGGCUCAACCUCGGGCCUGCAGUGGGUACGGGCAGACUAGAGUGCGGUAGGGGAGAUUGGAAUUCCUGGUGUAGCGGUGGAAUGCGCAGAUAUCAGGAGGAACACCGGUGGCGAAGGCGGAUCUCUGGGCCUUGCCUGACGCUGAGGCGCGAAAGCUAGGGGAGCGAACAGG
rnacentral:rRNA from 1 species